rnacentral:rRNA from 1 species
AGGACGAACGCUGGCGGCGUGCCUAACACAUGCAAGUGGAGCGACGAACCGGGGCUUGCCCCGGGGCAGAGCCGCGAACGGGUGAGUAACACGUGGGUUACCUGCCCCGAUGACUGGGACAACCCGUCGAAAGACGGGCUAAUACCGGAUGUGCCCCUUGGGGGAAAGGAAGCUUCGGCCUCCGCAUCGGGAUGGGCCCGCGGCGCAUUAGCUUGUUGGUGGGGUAAUGGCUUACCAAGGCGACGAUGCGUAGCUGGUCUGAGAGGACGAUCAGCCACACUGGGACUGAGACACGGCCCAGGACUCCUACGGGAGCAGCAGUGGGGAAUCUGCACAAUGCGCGAAAGCGUGAUGCAGCAACGGCCGCGUGCGGGAAGAAGGUCCUUAAGGGUUGUAAACCGCUUUCGAGGUUGGACGUAAGCUUUAGCGUUAAUGCGGUUGAGUAGACGUCU